rnacentral:lncRNA from 1 species
ACAACAUGAAUCCUGAUCAUUUUACAGCAGUAAAUUAUGAAGCACUACACUAGCUGUGUCUCCCCAUGGAAGCCAGGGCCCAGCUCAUUAAAGUAUUAAAAAAAAAAAAAAAAAGAAGAAGAAAGAAAGAAAGAAAGAAAAAAAAGCAACCUUGGUGGGUUCCACUGCUCCUAGAAAGGCUCCCUGACAAGUUCUGCAGCGAGUGCAUGCUGGCAUGUGGAAUUCCUCAUUUCAGCAGCAACUUCAACAAAACAUGCUUCCUUUUCCGUGAUUAGAAUCGAAGCCAUGUACUAAGAGGACUUCAGUUGUAAGCUUCACCUACCACAGGCUCCUUGCCCAAGGUGGGGCUUGAACUCAUGACCAUGAGAUCAAGAUUCUGACAGUUCACGGCAUUUUACCAACUGAGCCAGCCAGCAUCCCGAUGAGGCACUUUUUU